GGGCGAGUGGCGAAAUUGGCAGACGCACUACCUUGAGGUGGUAGCACCCGCAAGGGUAUGAGAGUUCAAGUCUCUCCUCGCCCACCA
rnacentral:tRNA from 1 species